rnacentral:lncRNA from 1 species
ACCGCAAAUUCGCGCUUCUCCACACGCCACACUCUCCCUCAUUUUUCAUAUACUUCUUCUACUUGUAUUAUCCCACUCCACCGCCGGCAAUUUCACCGGUCGCCGUCACCGAUCACCUCAUGGCCUGCGGAAAACUCACCACACACUUCUCGCCGCACUUGAUCUCCUCCCGCACCAAUCGAUCCCCUUUCUCCGUCCGCAUCUCCGGCAGAAUCAACGGUUUCUUAGCUCGAGCUGACCGCAGUUUGAUCGCCGACGCUCCGUCGUGCAUCUUCGUCGGUCCUAUCGAAACCGCAAGCAAGGAAACUCUCGAAGCUCUCUAUCGUCAAGUAAUUAUUGUUUUUGUUAUAAUUAUUUCACAUAUGCAUUGUUUAUAUAUGUCUUAAAGUUGCUGUAUUUAAAUUGUAGGCUAGGGAGGCGUAUUACAACGGAAAACCGUUGAUAGUUGAUGAUAUGUUUGAUAGAAUUGAGGUAAGUGACGUGGAUAUUUGAUUUUGUGAAUGUUUGGUUGAUUAUAAGAUUUGAUGCUGCAACUAAUUGAUGUAUUGGAAUGUUAUUCAAGCAGUUGAAGUUGCGGUGGUAUGGUUCCAAAGACGUCGUUAAGUAUCCUCGUUGUAGUCUUAGAAGGCAAUCGACUUAUGCGGAUGCUGAGGUAUAAUUUGGAUGUAUUUAUUUACUCUGAUAUAUAUACUCUAUUUGUUAAGUUUUGUGUGCGAUUGUAAUGGUAUACAUAUGUGUUUGGCUACAGUUGUGAGUGAUAGACUGUCAGGACGUGAAUACUGUAGAACAGGACAACAAUCUGAAAUUAAAUCAGUAGAUGUAGGGAGUUUUAGAUACAAGUUAUAACUAGUUAGUCUAGUUUUGUAUUCUGUAUAUAUAAAUUAAUGUUAGGAUGUAUAGAAGUGUCUUUGAGGGUUUAUUCUAGGGUUUAAUUAUCUCCUUUCAAGUAAAUAUAAGCUUAUAUAAAUUAUAAAUGAAUUAUUUAAUAUAUAGCAGAAACAAAACAAAGGUAUAAUAUAUACAAUUAUGAAUGUGUAUUGUUCAUGUUAAUAAAACUUCUCCAUAAGAGUCGUGGUAGAUGCUAUCUCUCGUAGUGGAGAUAUCGUUGAAUCCGUGAUCCAGUUGGAUUAGGAGUCUGAGGUGGUCAUACUCAAGACUAAUUCUAACAGGAGUAGGACUCUCCAGGAUGGGCCUUCGGCCUAUCUCCGACCUUAUCGCCAAGAGGCCUAGUCCUGAUCAAACUAGGACUCCUGGUUCCAUAGAACUACGUAUGGCUUGAUCCCCUAUAUAAAGGGGUACGUAGGCACAUCAGGGGAUAUAUCGAGAGUUGUGAGAACGAGAGCAGAAAUAUAUUCCCUUGAUCUCAGCCACCCUCAAACACUCCAAACCACCGCCCACGGCGGAUUUCCGUCAUAUAAUCACCGUGAGACACCUUAUUCCGGCAACGAACCUCACGUUUGUUGAUUCACCAAAUUCCUCUAUCAACACCCUGUAUAUCAGGUUGUUUGUUAUAAACAUCAAACAUUGAACUUAAUAAGUAUGAAUACACUGAACUAAAACGGAGAAUGAACGUAAGAUAAUAUCAAGUAAACUCAGCUCAAGAAACCAUGGAACUAAUCUUACAGUAAUGAAUAUUGCAAAGAGAAAGAUAAGAGUGAAGAAGUUUGUGGAAGAGAAAGUAAGGGGGUGUAUUCAAUUGGGAUUGAGGUAAGAUAAAGUCAUGUCAAAUCUUGACAACAACGGCCUGACAAUUUUCUGAAAAAAUAUAUAUAAUUUUCCAUCGAAAGUCAUUAAAAAUCUAUUAAUUAUAUUUUUCCACCAAGUCAGUGAUAUAUUGAAUAACAACUGAUUUUUAAUAACUCUUUAAAAGUUGUAAUUCAAUACCUCAAAUUUUGAAAGAUUUUUUAGAAAUCCUGAUACAGUGUGCAAAUAUAGUAUAUUAAAAUAUUAUUAGACCCUAAUUUUUUUUUCUCUCUUCUCUCUAGCUGCCUCCAUCUUUUCAUUCCCGACGGGGCUUCCAUCGGUUUUCCGGUGGAAAGCCCCAAAUCUUUCUGUUUGAUUGCUAGUUUUUUUAUUGUUCUUACUUUUUCAUUGAUUUUCUUAAUAAAUCUCCUUCUUUAAGAGGGAAAGUUUCUUAGAUCUAUAUCACCGAAACUUUUGAUUUUCAUUCUUAUUCGCUUCCAGAGGGCUUUUUGGAUUUGUGGCUGGAUCGAUUAUCUCCUACGUGUCGUGGUGCAGAUCUAAUUGCUUUAGUUUUUAGUUGAAUUUUCUUUAAUUUGUUUGGAUUAUAGUUUGAUUUCUCUCUCUGGUGAGAGUGUGUGAUUUUUCUCUCCUCUUUUGUGAGAGUUGGUUUGGAUUCAUCGAUAAAAGCCUUCGGGAAUUGCAUUUGUGGUUGAUAGCUCAAACGGAGUUUUUGAAAAAGAUGGUGAACACAGAGCACGGAUCUAUACAUGCACCAUCGUCAAUUUCAACAUUGCUUAUUUGUCUCAUCUUGGCUAUGAAGACAGGCAUGUUAAUUUUUUCUAUGUUUGUUCGACUCGAUUCAUUCUUGUAGAUGCCGUAUGGCUAUUAUUUAAUGAAUUAUUUCCUUUUCUUCAAAAAAAAAAAAUCCUGAUAUAAUACCUCUUUACUUUAAAGAGUAUUUAAAAAUAUUAAUUGAAUACACCUAGAUUUUAAAAAUAAAUAAAAAUCAUUUAAAAAUCAUGAUACAAUACCACCCCGUAAAUAUAAAUUUGUCAGAAGAAUAAUAAAUAAGCAUAUGAUAUUUCAUAAAACAUAUGUCAAAGAUACACAAGUUGAUCAACCAAGAAGUUAUCUUAAUGAACAAUGUCGCAAAUAAUACAACAAUAAUACUAAACAAACACGAAGUCAAAAUUCAAAAAUAAGACGUGAUUAAAUGACCAGACAAGAGCUUAUACGGCAUAAAUAAGUUUUAUAUUUUAUUUUUAUUGAAUUACAUAAUUUAUUAUUGAUAAAUUAUUUUUUUCAUCAUUUUAAAUAUAUUAAAAAUAAAAUUUAUAAAAUAAAUAAAAAGACCCCUUGUGCAUUGCACGGGUUAUAAGCCAGUUUGAAUAAUAGUAAUUAGAACUAAAUUAAUAAUUCAGCUCCCAGCAGACAUUGAGUUAUUAUUUUUGAAGAAAUGAAAAUAAUUCAUUAAAUAAUAGCCAUACGGCAUCUACAAGAAUGAUCGAGUCGAACAAACAUAGAAAAAAUUAACAUGUCUGUCUUCAUAGUCAAGAUGAGACAAAUAAGCGAUGUUGAAAUUGACGAUGGUACAUGUAUGGAUCCUUGCUCUGUGUUCACCAUCUUUUUCAAAAACUCCGUUUGAACUAUCGACCACAAAUAUUAUUAAAACGGGGUUUUGUAUUAGUGGAAUCGAAGAUGAUCGACGUGUAAGAUGCCCAUAUCCGUGGCCACGAAUGUAAGUUUAAAUAUCAUCCCAUCCAAACCAAUCCCAACCGCAAAUUCGCGCUUCUCCACACGCCACACUCUCCCUCAUUUUUCAUAUACUUCUUCUACUUGUAUUAUCCCACUCCACCGCCGGCAAUUUCACCGGUCGCCGUCACCGAUCACCUCAUGGCCUGCGGAAAACUCACCACACACUUCUCGCCGCACUUGAUCUCCUCCCGCACCAAUCGAUCCCCUUUCUCCGUCCGCAUCUCCGGCAGAAUCAACGGUUUCUUAGCUCGAGCUGACCGCAGUUUGAUCGCCGACGCU